CAACAAAAGACAAAAGACAAAAAAAAAAAAAAGAAAAGGGACAUGGCUCAUCUGAGCUUCCAUCGGCUUCUCUGUAACAGGGGGAUGAGGACAUCCCUACGUCCCAGGUUGCUCUUAGGGCUUUGUCAAAACACGGACCACCCCGUGCCAUGCUCAGCCUAGGUACGUACACGCGAGCAAGGUCACAGCAGCCCCGAUUUGAAUGCUGACGCUACCACUGACAUGAGCUCAGAGAGCCGGAGGGACUUGCUUGCUGUCCUCUGUGCUCUGUGCCCUCCCUCCUAGUGAUGUCCACACCCCAGGCACCAGGCUGAGCCUCUUGGUGCUGAUGAUCAUGUGACCAGCCCUCUGCACUCGCCGUAGACCAACUGGCGGCGGAUGGACCACCCGGUGGGCUGUGGGUGCUGCUUGGCUCCUGUCCACAUGUGGGGGCUGCAAUUGCACAACCAUCCUCCCGAGCUGGGGCAUCUGGAGCAGCAGGGCCGUAGCAAGCACCCCCAACCCAGGCGGGCCCCCCGAGCCCACCUCACUUCUUGAUUGCUCGCAGACCUCAGAACGGGCCGGGCUGUGGAGCUCGGCCUGGCCCUGACCUCGGGCCUCGAGCCCCCGGGGUGCCCUGCCUGUCAUCCAUAGCCCCGUCAGGGCCGGCUCUCUGGGCCCAGGGGCUGCCCCGUGUUUCUCUGCGUCCCUGGCCGAGCACACCGAGUUAUGUAAUGCUGCUGAGCCAACAUUUAUGAGUCGCAGCCAAUUUGCCGGCCUCAAGUUACACUGUGCAGAUGCUCUGCCUCAUGGUUGGCUUUUGUCUCGGAGGCCGUAAGCAGAUAGCAUAACUCCGCUUACCAUUAGACAUUUCGCAAAUCAUCUGGGCUCGAGCGUGCCGCGGCCAGACAGUUCAUUUAUGCUGCGAAUGGUAUGAUUUGUAAAGUAAUAAAUUUCCCGUCUCUCUGCCAGCAAUAAAGUACAGCAAGCAGGCGAGGCCAGAGCCCUCCAAAAAUACACUGGCUCCCAGUGAGACCUGAAAGAAAGCUCUGUCAGGUUCUGUCUCUCUGUUCCUGCCUUCCCUGGAUUCUGGGAAAUCAGGUUUGGGCCAUAAAUCCCCUCUACCAUCUGGGCAACUAGGAGCCCCGGCACGGACUUGAUAUGAGCAGGUGUAAUCGGUCCCCUACCGUGACACAUGUGUCCCUUCCUGGGCCCCUCUCGAUCCUGGCAUGAAAGGGCAGGGUGACAGGCAUCACGCAGACUGCAGUGAUGAAAAGUCAUUGCCCGGCCCUCCCUCUCUGUGGCCGCACAUCUGUGCUUGGGGCUGAGUCGGGGCUGUUUGUCCUGGGAAGUGCGUAGGCUGACAGACAGCCGUGGGGAGGUGUGCUGGGCAGAGCGUCUGUUGGCCUCCCAGGAGGGUGUGCAGCGGUUUUGCUCUAUCCGUGCGCCAGGGAUCUCUGUUGUGAAGGUGGUUGCUCCAGGCAGAAGAAGGUCAAAGACAGAAUUAAAAUGACCCUUGGGAUGUCUCAGUCCCAACUUCCUUCUUGGGGGAGCCUCAGUGACCUGCAGGGGCUUCCACUGCAGCCCAGGUUGUCAGGGAGACCCCAGAGCUGCAGCCCAAAGUGCUGGCUGUGGUCCGGGACCACGGAGUGUGGCUCAGAGUGCCCACGUUUGACCAGCCUUGUCUCCUUGUCCUGGGUAGGGGCUUUUGCAGAGACCUGGCUCUGUCUUUGACCUCUGCCUCAGGUCACUGUGAGACCCACUCUGUCUGACACCUUGCUGGUCCGCGACGGCUCUGUCCUGUCUGGGGGAGGGGGCCCUGGGAACAUCCGCAGGGUGCACGCGUCCCCGUGCUCAGCUCCGAGGUGCUCCCCCUGCUCCUCACCUUCUUCCUCGUCUUCCUCCACUUCUUUCACUUUUGAUGUUUGCUUUUUUUUUUUUUCAGGGCUGCACUCGCAGCAUAUGGAGGUUCCCAGGCUAGGGGUUGAAUGGGAGCUGUAGCCGCCGGCCUACACCAGAGCCACAGUAACACGGGAUCUGAGCCACGUCUGUGACCUACACCCCAGCUCACAGCAACGCCAGAUCCUUAACCCACUGAGUAAGGCCAGGGAUCAAACCCGCAACCUCAUGGUUCCUAGUAGGAUUCGUUAAUCACUGAGCCACAACGGGAACUCCCUGAUGUCUGCUUUUUAAAAACCCCAUUUAAAAAUCUUAGGAAUUAGAUAAACAUAGAAAAAGGAAGUUCUCUGUAGUGCAGUCACCUAAAUGCAGCUGCGGUGAUGGUUUUGCUGUGUUUCCUCUAGGUUGGCCUUUGGUGGUCCUGCAAGGGACCCUCUCCCUCCUGAAAGCUCUGCUGCCACCCGAGGUCGUGUUGGGCUAGCACAGCGCUCUUUGUCUUGGCGUGGGGGGUAGGGAAGGGGUGUGUUCGAAUGCAUGAGAGCGUAUGGGCCCCUCCUGGCCAUGACACACCCUGUGCCCACUGCAGACACCAGUUCCGAAUGUCUGGUCAGCUCUCUGGAUGCCAGGUCGACUCUGCUCAUUCUCACACAACCCUGCCCAGCAGGGACCAGCACCCCACCUCAGGGCACCCUGAGGCCUGGACAGGUAAGGCACGUGGCCCGAGGUCAACAUGCAGGGUGUAAUGCCGCUGAGCGAAGGGCCUACCUAGGCUGCAAGGAGGAAACAGGGUGGGACCCUCAGUGGUGGCCGCGGUGCUGACAGCAGAGCCGGGAAAGCAGCCCCGGGAGCUACGCUCAGGGUGGUACAGCCCCGAGGGGGCCUGGCUUCCCCCCGAAAUCCCACCAGCCUACCUCCAGCGGGGGCGGGGAGGGCUCUGGCUUUGAUAGGCUCACUCUCUUCAGGUCCCAUGGGGAGGAGUGAAUCCACCUGCUCCCAGGCCGAGACUAAGAGCUCUGUGCCCCAGAGGUGAUGGUCCGGGGAGCCUGGGACUGAAAGUCCAAGAGUCCAGGAGCGAAGUUUGCUGGGGAGUAGGCGACCCAGCGGGGGCAUUAAAGGGAAAUCUUGGGUCUUUGGCCCUCGACCUGCGGAAGGUGGGCCAGGGUGGCCGGACGCCCUGGCUGCAGCGAGGAAGCUUCUCGUUGCCAUCUUGGUCAUUUUGUAGAGAGGCGACGGCUGGAGGCUGAGAGUGUGCUCAGGACCUACUGGCCAAAAGACUGAGGGAGAAAGAAGUGCUGCUGUAGAUUGCCAGGAAGGAUGGCCUGAAACUGAGGCUCCAGGGGACAGGAGCCCCAGGGCAGAACUGCUCUCUCCAGCCGCAGCUGCGUGGGUGCCAGCACACCGCCUCCAGGGGGCUGAGCCUGGUGUCUGGGCUCCCGGUUGUCUGGGCAUAACCGGGAGGGUUGGUAGGGAUCGGAUGGGGAGAGGGCCCCCUGGUUUCGGUAGGAUGUCACUCGUCACUGCCUUCUUUCCAGAGAAGUGGCAGAUGCUGGUUCAGCAGGAAUGAUGAGCCAGGCACCACGUGCGGGACUUGAUGUCCCUUUGAUUUACUCUUCUGCCUGUAGGUGGCAGAAUGGGGAAACUGAGGUUCAGAGAAGUGAAAUGAUGUGUCCCACGUUUUCCAGCGAGGCCAGUGAUAGAAACACAGUUCCAAUCGCUCCAAAAACUUUGAUGAGACCAUAAGCUCUGUGAGGGCCGAACCUGGGGUAAGUCCUUCUCUGGGCCGAGUGCCCCAUGCACAGCCCACUGCCUGGCACAGGCAGGACUGAGCGGAUGAGCCCGUAAGGGCGGAGGUGGGCCCCGGUCUGUGCCCCGCCUGCACCUGUGCUCUGGGCACCCCACCUAGCUGCUUCUCUCUGCCUGGCCUGGGCGUUCCGCCGGCUGGUGGAGACCUCCCGCUGACAGCACUCUUCCCCCAGCUCUCUAGAUGCUCCAGGCCCCAAGAAGAAACUCUUGGGUCACGUGUGUUCUCUGGGUUUUGGCGAUUCGCGAUUCACAUUUGCAAGGAAGGCAGGAGAGGGACUCAUGCUGAUUUAAUAAACCUGUGCAUAGACUCCAGAAUCGGCUGAUAAAUCGCAGGCUGGCAGCCCACGUCCCCACGCCUGCCAGCACCACGUGUUCAGAAAUCACCGAGUUUCACCAGCUCUGCAGAAAAUUCAAUCUCCCCAGCAUGAUUUUCCUUAUUUGAGCUAAUAGCAUGAGGCGCCUUUCCUUUGGCACCGCGAGGUGCACCGGCGGAGGGCGGGCUCGCUGCCUGCCCCGGGGUCCGGUGGGAGACGGAGCGCGAAUGCCUUACAUUCGGCAAGUUCCCCGGGGGUCGACAGUGAUAGGCAUUGCUAAGACCUCCCCGGGUUUACCUUGUGCCCUCGGAACCAGCGGCUGAUCCCCUGGGGAGCCUGAAUGAUGGGUAAUGUGAUCAAGGCCCCGUCUCAGCAGAGUAAUGAGAACAAGGCCGACAGCAGCCAUCCUGGCCUCUCUGGGCCGUGUCAGAACUCACACGCCUCGGUCAGGCCCGCGGAGCUCAGGUUACUCGAUAUAAACAAGGGAAGGGGAGACGUGGCAGCCCAGGGGAGCAGGCCAAGGUGGCAGGGAAUACGUCAUCUCAGAGGGCUCUCCGGCGACCGAGCAGCUCCCUGACAACAAGCAGGUAUUGACAUGGGGGUUAAUCCUACUGGUUUAUGGUCUGAGCUGAGUCCCCGUGUCCCUCUGCUCCAGGGCAGCCAGGCCAGUGGGCUGGAGAACAAAUUCAGAGAUGCUCAGGUAAGCAUCAGGGCAAGAAUCCUCUUACUGUCGGCGUUCUCUCGUUCGAGGCUGAGUCCUUUCAGAAUUUCCUACAGCCCACGGGAGGGAGAGGGGUGGGUAGGCCACUGGGAAUGGGGGUACCCUAUUCCCAUAGAAGAGACUUGCUAAAUCUCUCCCUUCUGUAAGUUGCUUAGUGUUCCCCCUGCAUAUUUACUGAGCCCCUCGUGGUAAGUUAAGCUCCACGCUGGUUCUGCCUUGGCGAGUCUGGUACUUGGUUAGAGAGCACUCUGCCCUCCCUGCAUCCAUCCCUCCUUUGUCUUCAGCCAUCCAUUCCAAAAAAAAAAGAAAAAAAUUGAUCUAGUGUGAUAAUAUAUGUAAAGCAUUUAGCAUCCUGUCUGAUGUGAUAAAUGUUAGUUUUUUAUCAUCACAGUGAAUAUUAUGGCUAUUAUUUAGUAUCUACUGCAUGUCAGGCAGAAAAGGUGAAUAGUGGUACAAACCAGUCAGUGUGCCCCAUGAGCGCUGGAAGUGGUUGAGACGGCCUAGCCUCACCCCUCAUGCUGUAGAUGGACCGAGGGAGGCCCAGAGAGACGCAGAGACAGACUGAUGGGGGUCUCACCGUGAGGCUGUGGCUGUGCCGAGCCUAGAACCCAGGGCUCCUUCUGCCAUGGUGUGCAGCUGUCAGGCUGGAGUGGGGUGGUCCGAGGAGGCUUCCUGGAGUGGGUGGCUUUGGAGAUGAACCCAGGCGUAAGGAUAGGAAUGAGACCAGCAUGAGAAGAGAGGGGAGAAGGGGCAGCCUCGCCCGGCGCCGUGGGGAGAAGGGCCUGGACAGUGGGAGGGGUGCCACAGCCAUCUGUGUAGCAUCAUUGGAGGAGUCCUGAGGAGGCGUCCUUGUCCCCAGAUCACUCUGUCACCCGCAGCACGUGCUUCUUUCUGGCACGUGCAAGUCAGAACUACGGGGGGUGGGGCUCAGAACUCAGCCUCUGCUCGGGCUCAGCGGGGACCCAUGGGUCCAGGCUGGAAGUCACAGGCCAGGAGGGGAUUCCUUUGGGAGAGGAAACCCAUUCCGUCAUAAUUUGCCAUUAACCCCUCGCAUUUGUUUCCUCGGGCUGCUGUAACAAAUUAGCUGGCUUAAAACAACAGAAAUUUAUUCUCUCACCGUUCUGGAGGCCAGAAGUUCAAAAUCCAGGUGUUGGCAGGGUUGGCUCCCCCCGGAGGCUCUCAGGGAGUAUCUGUUGCAUGCGUCACUUGGAGCUUCUGGUGGCUGCCGGCGGCCCGGGCUCUCCUUGGCUUGGAGCUCCGUAACUCAUUCCUGCCUCCGUCUUCAGGCGGCCUUCUCUUCUCUCUGUCUCUUCUGCCCUGCUUAUCAAGACACUUGUCCUUGGCGUCAGGGCCUGUGAAUGAACCCAGGAUGACCUUUUCCUCGUUGCAUCUGCAAAGACUCUUUUUCCAAAUAAGUUCACGUUCACCUCUUACGGAGGGCUGCCUAUCCAUCCACUACGCCCCUAGAGCAGGGGGGACGUGGGCUCGCGGGAUGGGUCACAGGCUAACUUUGGAUGCCAGGAUAAGUCUGGCUGAGAUGUGGCAUUUUGGGUGCUAGGAAAAUUUUCCAGAGGUGUCUGGGCCUUGGAUGCUAAGGCUUUAUUUAUUUAUUUAUUUUUUGGAAACUGAGGACCAGGGUUGAUCAGGGGCAUAUGGGCAUCCAACAGGGCCUGUGGACAGACUGCACCAUGUUGGGGACAGACCACUGUGACCACAGCCUGCUCUUAGAAUGAUCCAUGGCAGUGCUGUCCAGUAGAACUUUCUGCAAUGACGGCAAUGUUCUUGAAUAUCGGAGCCAACUGACACAGGAGCCACCCGCCACGUGGGUCUGCUUUGGACGUGUGGCUAGCGCACUGGAAGGACUGGGUUUUAUUUGUCUUUCAUUGUAAUGCAUUCCCGGGAAACUCAAAGAGACCUAUGUGGCCAGUGGCGUGGCCACCUCUUGGCCAGCACAGCUCCACAAUAUCUCGCUUUGAUGCUUUCCCCUCAUCUGGUCUUCAUUUCCCUAUCAAAAGUACAUUUCAUCAUAAAGAGCUUAAAUGGCUCUGUUGCCUUUUUUUUUUUUUUUUUUGGUGUGUCAUGCUUAAUGUUUUAACUUUUGGCCGAGGGACAGAGGCCUGAUGGAGGGGACUGGCGUUAGACCCAGGUCAGGAAGGCACGGCUUUGCUCUUUGAGGAAAGGGGAAAGAUCCAUGUUUUCCUCCAGACAGUCUUGUGGCUGACAGUUGCCUGGUAGUUAAGCUGGAAGAGCAGCGAGAGAGGCCACAGCAAAAUCGAUCCUUGCUGGCAGCCAAGAGGUUGGCUGGCAAGGUUGCUUAGAGCCAGAGGAAAGGGGAGAUGCCCCACGUCUACUGCCCUGGCCCACGCUUGUGAGUCUCUGAAUUGGGGCUGCUUUGUUCUUUUUCAUGGCCCUUGGAAAGGCACAUAGAAAAUUUGAGGGCGCAUGAAGCUGUGUCUCGCAGACUCCUUCUGCAUUCCUGCUUCCCCAGGUGGUGUGGAUGUCCCCAGGGCCAGCUGCACAGGAGCCAUCAAUGAAUAAGCAAGAAGACCAACCUCACUGGAGCAAAAUUUGGGGGUGCACACCAAAGGACAGAUCCAGUCUCCAACCUGCCCUGAGCCUGUGGGUCCGCCGGUGUCCGGAGCGCUGGUGCCAGCUUCGGCCGUGACUCUCCUUCAGAUGGGACACGGGCCUCCCGGCGAGAGCGUCUCAAACUUCUGGGCUCACAUCAAGUGCCGCGUCAAGAAGCACAGGUGCUCCACUCUCCGGACAAGGUGCAUGCUGGAAAGUGCUGGAUGCAAUCAACCCAACCUCCUGUCUUGGGGGCCUCUCUCCGGUGAGCAUGUCCUGGGGAGCCCAGCUCCCACCCCUAGUCCUGAGAGGGACCAGGCUGGCUUUGGGGGAGGGUGUGCAGCCCAAAGUCACAGGGUCGCCUGAAUAAGGACUCGUGCUGAGCAUCUCCCGAAGAGCACAUGUUCAUUUUCCCGCUGCAAAUACAGCUGCUGCCCUGAGGACUCGUCAGUUACAAGGGCCCACCCGUUUGCUUCCUGGUGAGGAGACCCUGAGGAGGAGGCAGCCGGCGGGCAGACGGCAGGAGCAGGGAGCACUCAGGCCGGGGGAGCUCCGAGGGCUUCGGACUCAGGCAGGGCUCGGCCUGUGGCCAUGACCUGGCUGGGUGAGCGGGACUCUGCCCUAGAGGCCCAAGACCACAUAUCUACCAGCUCCCAGCUCCUCCAGUCCGGGUGCCCUCCUGCCCGUCUCCGCCUUGCACCCAUGCAGGUGCUGGGCCAUGGCGAGGGCGUGUGGCACUUCCCUGCAGGGCAGCCUGCUGGUCACAGCCAUCUCCCCUGGAGCCUGCCCGGCCUGUGCUGUCCCGGGCAGGCUUGGCCCAGCGCAGAGAUGAGACACGGGGCCUGACCCUCGCUGACUGCGGGCACCCCGCCUGAGCGUGGCGCUCUCUGACACGGGCCUUCUCCCACAGCUUCCCACUCCUCCACCUUGGACCCCGACAAAGGGAUGUGUGGCUCUGAGCGAAGGAAGGGACGUUGGUUCGUUCCCGCUCCCCCCAUCAGCAGUUCUCAGCUUUAGCCUCGGUCGGGAUCCCGGGGGCAGGCCAGAACGCCGCUGCCGGGCUCCACCCAGGAGUCUGAUGAGGCAGGCGUGCGGACCAGGCUUUGAGAACCACUGCUCUACCUGGAGCCGUCGAGAACUUUAUAACCUGAGCUUGCAGGGUGGGCCCAAAGGUUAAGGAUCUGCACGUGAGGAGGAAGGUAGGGGUCAAAGGUCACAGACCUGCCAUGCCCACACCUGCAUGCCCCACUGUCAAGGGAGCAUGCGCUGCUCUGGUCUUGUCCUCCGUGGCUGCUGUUGGCUGAAUGUGCAUCUGACAUGUUUCCAGGAAAACCUCUCGCUGCCGAGCCCGUCCCUCUGUCUGAGGCAGUCACAGCCUAGAGAAGAGACCCAGCCACGAGACUGUGGCUGCUCUGAGCCACGCAGGUGACCAGCAGGGAAUGGAGGCGGCCCCGGCUUCCCUGACGUUUUCAGGUGAGCCCUGCAACGCUUUGUCGGAGGCAGAGCUGGAAGCAUUUGGAGGACAAUGGAACACAUAAACAGAUGCUGUCACACUGGUGCUUUGCCUGCAGAGACCUGCACCCUCGAGACAGGGCAGCAGUGGCACACGCCAUGCCCUGGAGCCACACGGGAUCUGAGUCCGGGCCCUCUCUCUGUGCCGUUUCCCCUCCGGGCUUGGGUAAUCAAGCACUUAUGGCCUGGGAAGGUGGUGAGUAUGGAACCAAGCCAGGCACAGUCCUCAAUCGGGUGUCAUCUAUCAGGUGGAGUCUCGAAGGGUCUCUGUAAAGGCUCUCACAGUGGAAAACGGCCCCACGUCAGCUGGGACUAGGUGAUGGCUGCUGUCUUUGCUGCUACCAUGCUGGCAAUGUCGGCAUCAGGCCCCUAGAGAGCUGCCGCUCGGUCGUGCCCUGUCUUGGAGGGCCGUCCGCUUCAACUGCUGGCUGCUGUGGCGUGGCAGAGGCAACAGCUCGGGGGUCCCCUGGUGCCAUACUGACCAGUUUCAGGAGAGCUGCUGGCCUGUGUGUCUCACUCCUCCUCUGGCUUCUUGGCUGGCUGGCCGGGUUCCCUUGUUGCUUGAAUAACCACAACCCCUCUGAAGAGGCAUCCCGCUGGGCCAGGUCUGGCCUUCUGCCCCCACCUCUGGCCCACUGCCUCUGUGAUGGUCCGCCUGUUGCACCGCUGCAGUCUGUCUCCCGGAUGAGACCAGAUGCCACCUCCUCAAGGAGCGACAGCGCAAAGGCAGAUGCCAGUUAGAACCUUAGCUGUUCUCUCAGCAUUGGCUUCCUCCACAGGCACGCGGACACCGCGUGGGGAUGCAGGUGCUGCUGACCCAGAGAGCCGGGCGCUCCGCAUAAUCCCACUCGGCCCCCGACCAGAGGGCUGUGCGUAUGGCGAGGGUCUCAAGUUCCUCUGAGGCCAAGUGCUGGCCAUCCCACACGGAGCUUAUCUUAGACUUUGACCUUGUUCACUGUCUAGUCUCGACCAGACGAAGAUGUCUGAGCUCCCCCUCAAGUCAUUCCAGUUGGGUCUGCAACAGCCUUUCCAAGUGUCUGGGGCCUCAGUUUCUCUGGCUGUUGCAAGGGGACCCCGGGGGCCUCUUGGGUCACCAGUUCAGUGAUGGCUGGGGCUGUACCCACUGGUUACUUGUGCCACCGGCCCACCUGGAUGGCAGAGAUUUGGGGUCACACGGCUCAGCAGAGGGUUGAUUCCCCCCAGCAGUGCUGGACCCGCCUUGUGUGGGCAUGGCCAGGUGCCCCUGCUCCCAGGGAGCUCACAUCCAGGGCUGGGCAGGCAGGCAGGCACACAGGGCUCCAGGCCAGAGGCUGGGUUGAACAGGCUGAUCAGGGACCCAGAGAUUCCAGCGGGGAGAGGCUGUCUUCCCAGAAAAUCCACCUGAGCUUUCAACCCCUCAGGACACAGACUAGGAACCUGACUCUGAAGACUGAGGGGAAUAAACAUGGAUUCUAGAUGGACUCAGGCUUUCUUGCUGGACCAGGCCAACCAGCUAGGUGUCUUGGCUGUUGGGGAGAUGGACAGCGCAGGAAGGAUGUCUCGGCAGCUUAUGGGAUGUAGGCAAAAUGUCACUCCAUGUGGAGCCGCUUCUGCCAGGACUGCGCCUCCAUCACACUGAGUACCUGGGCCUUCCCAGGUCCUGUCUGGCUUUGGGUGACUCCCCAGCCAGCAGCUGCUCCAUCCAGAGCAAGACAGAUGAGCACCCAUCAGGGUCCCCAGCUGAGAGCACUGGCUACAGGUGGGUGAAGCUACAAUUCAUGGAUCCAACGCUGCCAAAGCUCGGGAGGCCCCGUACCUUCUCUCCCUGCGGGGCUCACACGUGUCGGGUUGAUAAGUGGUUCUCCCCGGCUCAGCUGGUCUCUGGCAGCUUUCUCUUUCUCUCUCUUUUCGAAGGCCCAUGCAUUGAGGGUAGGGAAGGCUGAUGGCUCUGCUGGGACAGGUCAGGGAAUUCCAAGUGGCAUUUCAAGGUUCCUUAAAAUCCACUCUGAUAGAGGGUGUGCCGGCAGUGAGGUGACCGUCAGCAGGAACGGAGGAGGCGGGUCUGAUGACCACAGAGGACAGGACGCAGGGGCUCCACAUGCCCAGUAGCGUGAACACUGAAGCCAAGGGCCUCCGAUCAAAUUCUGGCUCUGCCAAGUACACACCUCCGGUGAGUGAGUGAACCCCCUAACCUUCGGUUUCUUUGCCCUUGAGUGGAAUUAACAGUGUUGCUUACCUCGCAGGGUUGAUGUGAGAUACUGGAGAUAAAGGGUUUUAGCCCAGCACCUGGGAUUCAGUGAGGACCCGUAAAUGACAGCUUGAAGGAAACGAAUGGGUCCUCCUUUUAGGCCCCUAAAUCUAAGGAGAGUUUAAUCAAAGCCCCAAACUAGCUAUUCCCCAAGUUCAGCCCCUCCAGAGGGGUCACCCCGUAAUGUCAAACAGAGCUGAGAGAGUGAGGGAUCCAUCACUACUGUGACCAGAACGGCCAAGGACAGGGAGUCCAGAUGCCAGAGGGGUCUCCUGAGGCCGGGGUCUCGUUCGCUCCAGUGGGCUCGAAGGCUGGAGGAAGGCAGUGUAGGGCUGCGGGCAUCCUGCAGGUGCCCAAAGCUGGGCUGUGGCUGCAAGAAAAGUGCUGCCACAGCUCCUUACCAGAAUGUUUGCAUUUAUACUGUUUUAAUUCCAACGUGACUUUUAGGCCGGAGACACUGGAUGCCACAAACAAGCUGUUUUAUUUCCCCUCCUAAACCCCACUAUGAUUUAUAGGCCAGCUCUGGUGUAAUCCCAUUCUUUGCUCAUGAAGGAGAGGGCAGCUGUUUACAUGGCUCCGUGGGGCAAGGUCUGCCUGACAGAUGUGGGGUUGGGUGGCUGUGCACACGUGCUUGUCUUUGGCAUUCUGCCCUCUUAAAAGCUUUCAACUGAUUAUUUUUUAAAACUUUUUAGUCCGUGAAAAAAUGUAAAUAAGUUUGUAAUAACAGAUGCUCUUUUAUGGGCAUUACUUUUAUGCUUCAAUUAAAAAUUUCCCAAUCAUCAAAUGAAAGAGCGUGAAAUUAUUACCUCCAAUAAAGGCUCCUAUUGCUUCUCUGCUCAGAAGCACCUUUCAUCAGAGUAGAUCAAAGUGCAUCCGAAACACUAAUUAACUGAGCCUCAGAACCCUCCGUGAGAAAGGGAAGUCCCAUAGCCUCGCUAGCUGAUAAGGCAGGCCAGGGACAGAGAAGGUGAUUCAUUUACCAAAGGUCACACAGCAGGGCUGUGCCAAAGAACAGAAUUUCUAUGUGAGCUGGGGGGAUGGGAAGGUGGGGAAAGUAGAAAGCUCGCUAAUUAAUAAUGCUCAGACCCAAAAGCACUGUAUUAAAAGAAAGAAAGAAAGAAAAAGGGACUUGAAUUGACUCUAGGACUGAGCUGGGCACCUAUUAUAUAACCCACCUCCCCAGUUCCUGGGAAAGUUCGUUCUGCAGGUGCUUGCUGACCACUUUGAGAAGGAUGCUCGUCUUUGCCAGGUUUCUUUCCGCAGCCAGUGAAAGGGCUUUCAGAUGCUCUGGCAGCUCCUCUUUCCAUAUGCUUUAAAUGGUGCUGACUUUUAGACUCAUGUUAAGCGAGUGCUCUUGGCAGAAGAGAACGGAACAAAGAUGUACAGUGACUGGAAACGCAAUCCAAAACCACAGGUAUGUGAUCGGGGCGAACCUGCACGCUGGGGAGAAGCGGCACUUGUCCAAUCUCAGGGUCCCUGGCCACAGCCCUUGGCGACACAGCUGUUCUGGUGCUCCAGCUUCUCUGUGCUAAUGAGCCCAAGGAGAGCCCACUCUCAUGGUGCAGGGGACUGAGGCACCCUCGCCUGAAGGAGCACCUGGUCCAGGAGGCCUCGGCUGCCCAGAACCGCAGGGCAGGGAGCCAGGGCUGUAACAGAGACGCAGUACCCAGAGCUCCCCUCCAGGAGGGACUGCUUGUUCUGGCCCUGAUGGAGGCAGGCAGUGACAGAGGCUCCAGAGGAAGAUCUCUUCCCAUAGAAAAGACACCCACGGGCAGCCCAGGGGCAUGCACCUGUGUGCCUGCAGGCAGGGCCUCCGGCUCCAGCGUCUCAGCUCUGCUGGAGCAGACAUCCCAGGACAACGUGAUAGGAAUCCCACCCAGGACUAGUUCAGUCACUGGCACUUAAGGUGUGGAACCUUCAGUGAUGACACUGUUCGGGGAAGCAGAAUUACAAGGUUGCCCCAAAUGAAAAUAGCACAAUCCACUCUCCAUCCUGCUCAUGGGUCUGGAAGAGAAGUGCUUGGAGAAGGGCAGCUUCCUAUCCCUACAAGGGACAGUUCUGAGGACUGUGACUCUGGCUCGCCCAGGAGGACAGUGCAGCCCGCCUGCCUCGGGUACCAGGAGGGAGAGAUCCGGCAAGGCUCUUGAUCCUCACGGGAAAGCCCAGGGGCAGCCACCUACUGACACAGAGCCCUGGGCUGGGGCAGCUCUGAAGGCCACGCUCCCUUUGCUUCAGUGACCACUCCAGAUACCAAGUCUUCCAGAGGCCUGUGGCUUAGAUCCCUGGCAGGGAGGACCCUGGUAAUGUGCUGGGCAGUAAGGCAGCCUCAGAUGCAGCCCCUGUAUCUUCACCACACAGAGUUCUCAAAGCACGUUCCCUUUGGAGAGCUCCUCUGGUUUAUGGAGCAGCCCUGAGACGUUACAUGGCGCGAUGAGCAAGUCUGUUUUGCCGAGCAGAAGGUUGGCUUCAGAGGGGAAGCCAUCACUCAGCUGGUGAGCCAGGCCCAUGCGGUGCUGCUCUGAUGGGCAAGGACCUGGGAGGCUAUGUGCUGGCAUUUGGGAGUGCCCCAUCUGGGAGGGACUGUGGCUGUGUCCUUCCUGCCCCAUCGGUGGUUCAAGGACUGCACCAUGCCAGUGCUGCCCCCUGGGCUGUGUGUCUGUCUGAGGUCCAGCUGUGCUGCUUGGGGAGAUUUCAGGGCUGGGAGGUAGGGGAGGCCUAGCCCUGUUUCACUGUCACGCAUCUACCAGUUCCGUCCCCCUCAUUAGCAGAGCAAGGACACAGGGAGAGCAUGCAGGUUUGGGGGGCAGAGGAUGCUGGGAACGCAAAGUAAGGGGCAGAGGAUGUUCCCCAGGGAAUAAUACUGGGGUUUGCGGACAGACCUGUAACACCGCUAGGAGAGGGGCUGGGAGGAGCUCUCACGGUACCUCUGUAGUCACACCUCCCACCCAUCGAAGUCCUAAGGUCCUUCACGAGUCCCCCUCUAAGGGUACUUCUGUGAUGACAUCUGCUGGCACAGCUGAAGUUGGAUCUUGUCCCCAGGCUUCCUGUCUCCCGGCAUCUCAACUGUCUCUCCCAAUUAAUGUCUGUGUUUUUCCCGAUGUCUCCGCCACAAAGGCAAGUGCUUUGCAGAGUCCCAGCUCCGCGGGUAUGGGCUGAACACGCAGAGAAACACACCCACACCUGCUGUGGGCCCUUACCUGCCGCUGCCGAUGGAUGGAAAGGCGAUGGACUUGAGCUUCUUAUCGUCUGCCAGGGCCAAGCAGUUCUUCACUGUCUUUUCCAGAAGCUCCUCACACUUGUCUGCACCCCACACGGGACUGUUACAGUGGAUCACAAACUUGGCGGGCAGGCCAUGGCCCGCACUGACAGCAGCUGCAGGGAACAAGACAGGAGCAGUGAGCUGCGUCCCUCUGCAGAGCAGGAAGGGUGCCGACCCCAGGCCCGCACUCCAGCUCCAGUGGGUCUUCGCAGGCCUCUGACCACCUGGUCAGGGAGGGCCGCGGCUGCCUUGUGAUUCCCAAGCUCAUCAUUCAGCCUCCUCCCUCGGUGGGGGGACUCCAAGCCAACGUCCACCCCUGGAAAGCUGGCAUUAGGAUGCGUGGCCCCCACCAGGAAUUCUAGCCCCGGUCACAGGAAGCCCUCCCCCCUCCCCAAGCAGGCAGAGCCUCAACCAUCUAACCUGACCGAAUGUGUCGGAAUGUUUGUGGCCUCAAAUUAACUGCCUUUUGGGGUCUCCAACCCCCCUUUUCUCAAGUGGAUUCAUGUGCAGUUAAUUAUGAAGUAUCUGUAAAUCUCUCAGACACGGUUCCGAAGAAGCCUAUUGGGAAAGUAACCCGACCAGCAUGUCUGCUGCCCUCUUCUUCUCCCUGACUAACGGAUGCUGUUUAGUUCUGACAGAAUUAAUUGGGCUGUUGUUACGAUGGAAUGGUUUUCCUUUCCUAGAAGAGGGGCCUUUUCCCUGCUCUAGAUCGCCACAGCAGACCAGCCUGUCCGUCUUUCCUUUCCUUCUCUGCUCCUUGUUACAUGGGAAGACAGAGGCCUUGGGUCUGCUCCCACCAGGCCUCAAAUUAACUGCCUUUUGGGGUCUCCAACCACAUCUCCCAGAGCAUGUUCCAGGAUUCCUGUUCUAAAAGUUGCAAUGCUAAGAAGGUGGUUCUGGAACCAAUGGGUAUGGUGAGUGCUGCCCGCUAGACUUCGGUAAAGGCUCAAGUCUCCACUCACUGCUCCAGUAAGACACUCAAAAUUUGUGAUCAAGGGUCCCCUAAACAAGUUGGUGAGGAACACCAGCAGUGCCAUCCAAGGGAUGUGGGUGUCAACGGGUCAGGGACGGCGCUCGCUGACCCUGCAGAAAGUGAUGUGUGGGGAAUGUCUCCUGGUGCAGAAGCAAGCGCUCUGAACCCAGAGUCACACGUCUGCUUCUGAGUUUUGACUCUGCUUGCUGACAGGUUCGAGACUCUGGGCUGAAGUGCUGACCGACAGAAAACCUGACGCCGGAGGGCUGCCCUCCCCUGUCUGUCCGCAUGCUAAGUAACUGCAUGGAAAAGUCUGGAAAGAAACAUGUUAGCAGUGCUUAUCAUUGGACAGAGGGACAGGGGCAGGUUAUUUCCUUCAUACUUAGAAAAGUUUUUCCCAUGUACUUAAAUUCUUUUAAAACAUUUCGAAAAUCUUAAAAUCAAGAACAUGUGUCUUGUUACUGUGACAAACAUCUUUAGCUGUGCUAAAUCUAAUUAGCUUGCACCAGCUCUGGCUACAGUCUCACCAGCUAUGUUUGGUGUGUGCUGGCAUCAGGGCCACCUCUCAUCACUCCUCCUGCUGAGGGUCACCCAAGGGGCUUGGACUGUGGCACCAAUGGGAAGGACCCAGGGCCAGCACAGGGAGGUGGCAGGAAGGGGCUGAGGACUGGCCAGGAGCCCCGGUCUGGGCAGUCCCAAGGGGAGGUGCCUGGACACGCUGGGUACCUGUGCCCUCCUCAACUCUCUGCAAUGCCAUGCCCUUGGCAGGCAGAACAGAACUGGCAGGGCACAGGGAACAGGGCAAAAGAAAUUCCACCCUCUUCUCCCCACUGGGACCCAUGUCUAGCCCAGGAGGGGAGCUUAGUGCUGUCACUGGGGAAAGAGGAGGAAGGCCUGGGGCACCAUCAGCGAAGGCCGUGCAGAUAUUACAUAGUUAAUUGCCGAUGCCCCUUUUAAAUAAAACUCAUUUAAAAGACAAACACAGGAUGUGAAAGACAUAACGGGCGCCAGGGACCGUCUAGUAAGAAGAGACAAGGGGAGCCCAGAGAGAGGAAGAGCAGGGCCUGUGCGCACACAGCCUUACACACCACGCAGACUCCUCGGCCCUGGGGACCCUGUGUCCACCUCAGAUCCCCCGUCCAGGCUGGCAGCAGUGAGAGGUGCCCUGCCUCGAGUCCUUGGCAAUCAUUUUCCUCACGUCACAUUUGAAGUCAUUUUCCUACCCCUUGCAUCAGGAAAGGUGUAACUGCCAAAUGAGAAGUGUGUAUUUCUAUUUUUUUCAUUAAAAACACAGAUGGCUGAAGGAAAA